GUUUGUGUCAAUUAGACCCAUUUCUAAUUAUCCUACAUCAUUUCGCCAAAAAAAAAGAAAUUCAGAAAUUCAGAUGGAGAUGACGAAUUCCGUUCGCUGGAUCUGAGUCCCAACAAGCCGUUGAAUAUGAGAUCAUACGGACGCAAAGUAUACAAGAGAGCAGCAGUUCAUCCUCCACAUUCCAACAAAAUGCCAACUGAUGAAGAUUGGCCCUCAAUUUCGCCAGUUGCCAGAUCUUUCCAUCCAGCUAGUUUCCCCCUGCCCUUGCAUCAGGACUAUGUUGUUCCGGGGGCAACACCACCCGGUAAAUUUGCCAAUGCAGAGUUGAUGAAGAUCCCCAACUUCAAGUUAGGUUAUGGCUGUCAAGCAGCCUACCGUCAACUAUUUUGUUCAAAAUCAUUGUAUUGUACUGAAUGCACAAUCGAAAAGAUACAGGAGUCAUAAUUAUCUGCUGUUUGUAUUGGACUUGCUAGAUCACCAAUCCCGGCAUAGACCAAUCUCUCAUUUCAUCUUCUUGAGAGAAGAUAGGAUUAGUGAUUGGUUGGUUUCAUUUGUUAUGUCACUGAACUUUUUCCAUUGCAGUCUAAUAUGUAUUUAAAGUAUUGAUCUCCACUUAUGUCUAUCUAAUGUUCAAGAGAUGCUUUUUAGUGUAUACUGAUAAUUGUUUAUUCUUUUAGAUCAUAGAUGUCAAGCACUUUGAUGACACAAAUUAUAAACAAGGAUUCAUCAUUAUAUGUGCUUUGUAUUGGACUUGCUAGAUCACCAACCACAGCAUGAACCAAUCAAUCAUUCACUUCUUUAGAGAACCUUGGAUAGCUGAUCGGUGGUUUCAUGUGUUUAUCGUGUAUGUUCGCGUAGUUGCUGUCCGCUGUGGUACUUUGUUGCAGCCUAUGCUGGUGAUGGAUCUUUCUGCAUCAAAUUCAAUUGGCCGUGCUGUUGUCGUGUUACCGUUAAAUGUUAAGAAGGAAAAAAAAUAUGGGGAUAGUUAUGUCUAGCAAGUAAUAAACAUGUUUUCGGGAUUGGGAAAGGAAAGUGGAAGAUGUUGGAGAGGGGGAUAUUUCAAGUUUGGAUAAAAACAGUUAAUUUUAAGUUUUAACCCUACAAACAUAUCCCUACCAAUUAAUCCCCAAACCCAACAAACUUAUACCUUCCAAUUCUUCACACACAAACACACACCUACCAACCCUAAAUUUAUACCAUAUCCAAAUAAACCAAUGUUAAACCCUAGCAUUGUAAUGUCUGUAAUAAAUAAAACUUUUAAUACAUAAAA